CGGUAAUUCCAGCUCCAAUAGCGUAUACUAACGUUGUUGCAGUUAAAAAGCUCGUAGUUGGAUUUCUGAUCUUUGCCAAUGGUUGUGUCGCCGCGUGCGAGGCGCCUUGCGCAGAGGUCAACAUAUGUCACGAGCCAGUGUGAUCUAUUCAUUUAGGUCCACUGGGUAAUGACUCGUUUGCUUUGAGAAAAUUAGAGUGUUCAAAGCAGGCAUUUGCCUUGAAUAUGUUAGCAUGGAAUAAUAGCAUAGGACUUCGGUUCUAUUUGUUGGUUGUUCGAGAACUGGAGUAAUGAUUGAUAGGGACGGUUGGGGGCAUCCGUAUUCUCAAGCGAGAGGUGAAAUUCUUGGACCUUGGGAAGACGAACAGCUGCGAAAGCGUUUGCCUAGGACGUUCUCUUUAAUCAAGAACGAAAGUUGGGGGAUCGAAGACGAUCAGAUACCGUCGUAGUCUCAACUAUAAACUAUGCCAGCUAGGGAUCGGUGGGUCUUUGUCACGAGUCCAUCGGCACCUUACGAGAAAUCAAAGCAUUUGGGUUCCGGGGGGAGUAUGGUCGCAAGGCUGAAACUUAAAGGAAUUGACGGAAGGGCACCACCAGGAGUGGAGCCUGUGGCUUAAUUUGACUCAACACGGGAAAACUUACCAGGUCCGGACAUAGUAAGGAUUGACAGAUUGAAAGCUCUUUCUUGAUUCUAUGGGUGGUGGUGCAUGGCCGUUCUUAGUUGGUGGAGUGAUUUGUCUGGUUAAUUCCGUUAACGAACGAGACCCGCGCCUGCUAAAUAGUCGGCCUCACUUCUGUGGGUGUUGUACUUCUUAGAGGGACCAUCCUGGGUAUACCGGAAGGAAGUUGCGGGCAAUAACAGGUCUGUGAUGCCCUUAGAUGUUCUGGGCUGCACACGGGCUACACUGCAAGAUACAACAAGCGUCGAUCACGCCUGACUGGAAGGUCCGGCCAAUCUUUGAAUAUCUUGCGUGAUUGGGAUAGACCAUUGCAAUUAUUGGUCUUCAACGAGGAAUUCCUAGUAAACGCGUGUCAACAACACGCAUUGAUUACGUCCCUGCCCUUUGUACACACCGCCC
rnacentral:rRNA from 1 species